rnacentral:tRNA from 1 species
AGUUUUAUAAUUUAAACAAAAUAUUAAACUGCAAAUUUAAAAAUAUAAUUUUAUUAAAACUU